rnacentral:rRNA from 1 species
UCUGGUGGCGAUAGCAGAGUGGACACACCCGUUCCCAUCCCGAACACGGAAGUUAAGCACUCUAUCGGCGAAGGUAGCAUGGCUUGACCAUGUGAGAAUAGCAAGCUGCCAGGU